ACUAAUUGGUUUAGUUACUCUCUAACGUCUAAACUUUCGACACAGCUUCGAAUAUUUCAAAGGAAAAAAGACUAAAAAAAAAUGUUCAAUCCAAAAUUGUUCGUGUCAUUUUUGAUCGGGUUCAUGGUUUUUGGGCUCGUCAUUUUCAACGUUAAUGGACACGAAGGUGGCAAAUCUAAGAAUGAAAACAAAGCUGAAGCAUCGUUCCCAAAACAAUUUGAAACUUUGAAAGAAUCCUUGGACCAUCAGGAUAUUUCAGAUCCGGC